GAUGAAGAACGCAGCGAAAUGCGAUAAGUAAUGUGAAUUGCAGAAUUCAGUGAAUCAUCGAAUCUUUGAACGCACAUUGCGCCCGCCAGUAUUCUGGCGAGCAUGCCUGUUCGAGCGUCAUUUCAACCAUCAAGCCCCAGGCUUGUGUUGGAGCCCUGCGGCUGCCGCAGCCUCCCAAAACCAGUGGCGGGCUCGCUAUCACACCGAGUGCAGUAGUUUACUCUUCGCUCAGGGCGUGUGGCGGGUGCUAGCCGUGAAACCCCCAACAUCUCAAGGUUGACCUCGGAUCAGGUAGGAAUACCCGCUGAACUUAAGCAUAUCAAUAAGCGGAGGA
rnacentral:misc_RNA from 1 species